rnacentral:rRNA from 1 species
UGGGGAAUAUUGCACAAUGGGGGAAACCCUGAUGCAGCGACGCCGCGUGAGCGAAGAAGGUUUUCGAAUCGUAAAGCUCUGUCCUAUGGGAAGAUAAUGACGGUACCAUAGGAGGAAGCCCCGGCUAACUACGUGCCAGCAGCCGCGGUAAUACGUAGGGGGCAAGCGUUGUCCGGAAUCACUGGGCGUAAAGGGUUCGCAGGCGGAAAUGCAAGUCAGUUGUGAAAGGCAGAGGCUCAACCUCUGUAAGCAAUUGAAACUGUAUUUCUUGAGAUGUGGAGAGGCAAGUGGAAUUCCUAGUGGAGCGGUGAAAUGCGUAGAUAUUAGGAAGAAUACCGGUGGCGAAGGCGACUUGCUGGACACAAACUGACGCUGAGGAACGAAAGCGUGGGUAGCAAACAGG